AUUGAACGCUGGCGGCAUGCUUUACACAUGCAAGUCGAACGGCAGCGCGGGCUUCGGCCUGGCGGCGAGUGGCGAACGGGUGAGUAAUGCAUCGGAACGUGCCCAGUAGUGGGGGAUAGCCCGGCGAAAGCCGGAUUAAUUCCGCAUACGACCUGAGGGUGAAAGCGGGGGACCGAAAGGCCUCGCGCUAUUGGAGCGGCCGAUGUCGGAUUAGCUAGUUGGUGGGGUAAAGGCUUACCAAGGCGACGAUCCGUAGCUGGUCUGAGAGGACGACCAGCCACACUGGGACUGAGACACGGCCCAGACUCCUACGGGAGGCAGCAGUGGGGAAUUUUGGACAAUGGGGGCAACCCUGAUCCAGCCAUGCCGCGUGCGGGAAGAAGGCCUUCGGGUUGUAAACCGCUUUUGUUCGGGAAGAAAUCCUCUGGGCUAAUACCCCGGGGGGAUGACGGUACCGGAAGAAUAAGCACCGGCUAACUACGU
rnacentral:rRNA from 1 species